AAUGAACGUUGGCGGCGUGGAUUAGGCAUGCAAGUCGAGCGAGAACCCCGCAAGGGGGGACAGCGGCGAAAGGGACAGUAAUGUGUAGAUUAUCUGCCCUCAGGUCCGGGAUAGCUGCGGGAAACUGCAGGUAAUACCGGAUAACAUCUCCGGAUCAAAGGUGUGAUUCCGCCUGAGGAUGAGUCUGCAUCCUAUUAGCUAGUUGGUGGGGUAAUGGCCUACCAAGGCAUUGAUGGGUAGCAGGUGUGAGAGCACGACCUGCGUCAUUGGGACUGAGACACUGCCCAGACACCUACGGGUGGCUGCAGUCGAGAAUCUUCGGCAAUGGGCGCAAGCCUGACCGAGCGACGCCGCGUGUGGGAUGAAGGCCUUCGGGUUGUAAACCACUGUCAGAGGGGGUGAAAUGCAGGUGGGUUCUCCCAUCUGUUUGACAUAGCCUCAGAGGAAGAACGGGCUAAGUUCGUG
rnacentral:rRNA from 1 species